GAUGAACGCUAGCGGGAGGCUUAACACAUGCAAGUCGAGGGGCAGCAUAGGGUAGCAAUACUCUGAUGGCGACCGGCAAACGGGUGAGUAACGCGUAUGCAACCUACCCUGUACAGGGGGAUAACCCGGAGAAAUUCGGACUAAUAUCCCGUAAUAAUAUCCGGAGGCAUCUUUGGAUAUUUAAAGUUCCGAUGGUACGGGAUGGGCAUGCGUAACAUUAACUGGUUGGUAAGGUAACGGCUUACCAAGGCUAUGAUGUUUAGGGGUCCUGAGAGGGUGGUCCCCCACACUGGUACUGAGACACGGACCAGACUCCUACGGGAGGCAGCAGUGAGGAAUAUUGGUCAAUGGGCGCAAGCCUGAACCAGCCAUCCCGCGUGCAGGAAGACGGCCCUAUGGGUUGUAAACUGCUUUUCCAGGGAGAGAAACUUACGCACGUGUUGCGUGACUGACGGUACCCUGGGAAUAAGCAUCGGCUAACUCCGUGCCAGCAGCCGCGGUAAACUGUCUACG
rnacentral:rRNA from 1 species